UACUUCUGGCAAUGGGCAAAGAGACACCUCACUGGGGAUGUUACUCUUACAUCAAAGGCAAAGCAGAUGGCCUUUUGUUCAUUCUAGCUCAGUGCCUGGGUUGGUGGCUAGAGCUGUUUCAUCCUUGGGACACAUAA